rnacentral:tRNA from 1 species
UCCGUGAUAGUUUAAUGGUCAGAAUGGGCGCUUGUCGCGUGCCAGAUCGGGGUUCAAUCUCCCGCUCGCGGAG